rnacentral:rRNA from 1 species
CACGAAGUUGGAUUCGCUAGUAAUCGCGCAUCAGCCAUGGCGCGGUGAAUACGUUCCCGGGCCUUGUACACACCGCCCGUCAAGCCAUGGGAGCCGGGGGCGCCUGAAGUGCGCUGCCGCAAGGAGCGUCCUAGGGUAAAACCGGUGACUGGGGCUAAGUCGUAACAAGGUAAC